rfam:Picea glauca, whole genome shotgun sequence.
GGGUGCCAUCAUACCAACGUUAAUGCACUGGAUCCCAUCGGAACUCCGCAGUUAAGCGCGCUUGGGCUAGAGUAGUACUGGGAUGGGUGACCUCCCGGGAAGUCGUAGUGUUGCACCCU